rnacentral:pre_miRNA from 1 species
AUGAUACUCCCUCUGUCCCAAAAUUCUUGUCUUAAAUUUGUCUAAAUACGGAUGUAUCAAGUCACGUUUUAGUAUUAGAUACAUCCGUAUCUAGACAGAUCUAAGACAAGAAUUUUGGGACGGAGGGAGUACCUA